AGUAGAAUUGUUGGGUCAUAUGGUAAUCCUAUAUUUAACAACUUGAGGAACUCUCAGACUGUUUUCCAAAGCAGGUACACCAUUUAAUUUUCCCAUUAGCAGU
rnacentral:pre_miRNA from 1 species